rnacentral:lncRNA from 1 species
GGGUGUUUCUGGAUGAAAUUAGCAUUUGAAUCCAUAGACUGAGUAAAGCAGAUCACCCUCCCUAGUGUGGGUGGGCUACGUCCAAUGCCUUGAGGGUCUGAAUAGAACAAAAAAAUUGGAGAGUGGGAGAAUUAACUCUCUGCCUGACUGACUGAGCCGGAAUAUUGGUUUUCUCCUGCCUUUGGACCGGGACCACCAGCCUUCUGAUUCUCAGACCUUUGGACUUGGACCAAACUACAUCACCAUCUUCUCCUGGGUCUCCAGCUUGCAGCCAGCACGUUGUGGGACUUUUCAGCCUCCGAAAUCACGUUGCUUCUUGACGCUCGGUGGCCAUCUUCUUCUUCCUCCUCUUCUAUUUCUGCUACACAGCAAAGGCGGGUUUGGACCUUGGCUUAUGUCACAGCCAAGAAGAGCCCACCUUCUCUGAAAGAAUUUGUUGUCAUGCGACAGCAAGACCUCAAAGGCAACCUGACUGGCUUCUGGGUGAAGAACCGCUAGUGCCCUGUUGCUUCAUGAAUGCUAAGAGACAUCACAGGUUAGAGGAAAAGAGAUAAGAAUAAGAGAAUAAUAAGCUGCAGAAGCCCACACUACUGAUCUGGCCACAAUUUCCCCAACUUCCUCUUGCAACUCAGGACAGCUUCCAGGAAAGCUUGUACAGGAUCUAGUCUUUCUGUAAGGAAUUGCUCACUCAUGAUGAGAUUCAGCAAUCCAACUUUAAUGUCAGACUAUGUGGUAAGUGCUUUCUUGUGCUUUGCUAUUACUCGUAAUGAUGAAAACACAAUUUUCUAAAGUUGAAAUGGAAUGCUGAUGAUAUGAAAAGAUUUUGCAUUGAUAUUUAAAUGACUGAAAUAUAUAAUUAGUAUUAAAACGC